rnacentral:rRNA from 1 species
GAUGAACGCUGGCGGCGUGCCUAAUACAUGCAAGUCGAGCGAACGGACGAGAAGCUUGCUUCCCUGAUGUUAGCGGCGGACGGGUGAGUAACACGUGGAUAACCUACCUAUAAGACUGGGAUAACUUCGGGAAACCGGAGCUAAUACCGGAUAAUAUUUUGAACCGCAUGGUUCAAAAGUGAAAGACGGUCUUGCUGUCACUUAUAGAUGGAUCCGCGCUGCAUUAGCUAGUUGGUAAGGUAACGGCUUACCAAGGCAACGAUGCACAGCUGACCUGAGAGGAUGAGCGGCGGCAUGGGAACUGAGACACGGUCAAGACUCCUGAGGGAGGCAGCAGUGGGGAAGAGGGGACAGUGGGGGGAAGCCGGAUCCUGCAAGACCGCGUGGGGGAAAAAGGCGUACGGGUUGUAAAGCCCUGGGAUGGGGAAAGAAAAGCAGCAGGUUAAUAACUGGCUGUUAGGACGGGACCCAAAGAAUAAGCAAGGGCGAACGUCGUG